GGAUGUGAGGGCAAUCUGGCUGCAAUAUCUUUCACCCCAUUGAUUUCCAGGGUUGAUUUGGUUGAUCUGGCUGGCUAGGCAGAUGUCUCCUUCUUCCCUCACCACUCCAUGUGUAUCCCUACCAAAGCUGUGUACUCGGUCAAGGAGGACAGCCAUCCCUGAUAGAGAAGGACUGGUCUUCAGUCAAGGGUAUAUCAGUAGCUAUGUCCCCUUCUAGAACCUCCAAAUAAGCUCUCAAGGUCAAUUUGUAGGAGAACAUAGUGUAGUCAAGCUUCCAAGACUCCAGACACAUCCAAAUGAGGUGCUGCAUGUGGCAGUUUGCCUUUCUAA
rnacentral:snRNA from 1 species